CUCGAACUCUUGGGCUCAAGCAGUCCUCCUACCUCAGCCUCCAGAGUUGUUAUCUAUAAUUUUGAACAGUAGUUAUCUGUAACAGUGAGAAGCAAAGGUUUUCCUCAUUUCCUCUUUUACAGUUUCUGUAUUUUCCAUAAUUGAUACAUCAUCACAUAUUACAAUUAUGAUGAGAAAACAUGAUACAUAUUUUUAUUUGGAAAAUACAUAAAUAAAAACAAAAUCUAUGACCUCACCGUUCAGACUCAACAUCUCUUCCAUUUUGAUGUCAUGCGAUGUUUCUGACGGAGGUUUAAUUGAAAUGAAACAGCAUCAAUAAGCAUGGGCUCCACAGUCUUCCCACAUCGCUCUGAGUGCCCGGGGAGGGACUGGGGACUCCCCCCACACAUUAACCCACGAGGACCUCUCACAUGGACCUUUUUACAUUCUCUCUAAUCUUUCCCAAAGCCUUGCAAGGUGGGAGUAAUAUUAUUAUUCCCAUUUCAGAGAUGACAAAACUAAGAAACUCGUCCUCUGUGAGUUUCUGUGCUAUUAGGCUGUGUCUCAUGUCCCCGUACAAAGUAUCUUUGUAUGGGAGGCCUAAUGGUUAAGAGCAUGGACUUCUGUCCGACAGAAUUCAUUAAGUUCCAGGCCAGACACACUGCCGCUCUCUGGGAAUGUGUCCAUGGGCUAGGGGUGGCACUGAGCUUCCAUUCCAUUUCUUAUAAAAUAAUGACGACAAGAUCGUUUUCCUUAAAGGGUGGCUGUGAGCCUUCAAUUACACAGUGAUGAAAAGACCUUAGCACAGUGCUGGGCAACGGCUAGCUACUUCAGAGGCACAGCUGAGACUUGCACAGAGGUACCUGGCUGCAAAGUCCGGCUCCUCUACACUCUGCAGAGCUGUUUUCCCCCUUCAGAGCUCCUCUCCUCCGGGAGGGCUUGCCUCGCCCCGGUCCAGGAUCUCUGCCUUCGGUUGAAGCGCAGCGCCCCCAGCCGUCCGCAGGAGGGAUCGACGCCUCUGUCUCCCCGAAGUGAGGGCGCUCGCUGCGGAGCUGGGGGUGGUCUCCUCUUCCCCCCAUCGCGGCCCAGCAACCUGGGGGUCCGCGUGACUUCUCCCUGGCCGGGGGAUGGAGGAUGCGCUCUCCUCUGUCCCUUCAAGGCCUCUUCCUCGUCCCAGGUCGAGUCUCCUCCUUGCUGACCAGGCAUCGCGAGCAGAUGAAUCCUCUGGGCGGUUGUCCCUGUCAGGCUGUCAGGACCUGAUUUUCCCUGGUUCACUAAAGCACCAGAAGGUAUGAAGGCGGAGAGAGGAAACAGGGCAAUGGAAUGAACACUUCUCAAGAAUCUCUCAGGUGCCACGGACUGAGCCAGGUGCCUUCCAUGUGUUAUCUCAUUUUACAGGGCAGGUAACAUUUCUGAAAGGUCAGGCAGCUAAAAAGCAGACAGCUUUCUGGCACAUUAGAGAAACAAAAGAAAUGUUGGAGACUGGAAUGCCUGCUGUGUCAAGGCACCUAAUUAGAAAACAACGUCAGAGUGAAUUUGUCGUGCGAGUCUCCAGCUCUGCCAGAAGAACUAAAAGAAAUGUGUCACCAGAGGAAUCACAAAUUGCUUUGGAAAUCAUGUGGACCUAGCUCUUGGCAACACAGAAUCCACAUCUAACCUCGUUCUACUCAGCUCUGCUGUCCCAAAGGUAUUUCAGAUCUACCCUCUUACCCUUUCUCCCAUUAAGGUUCAAAGUACUAUUACUGGUUUCCAAAUUUCCUUUAAGACAGUAUUAUUUCUUCAAAAGAAAAUUGAUUUGGAAACCAAUUUUAUUGAAGCUACUCUAUUUCUAUCCAAAAUAGGACGGAAUGCUAACUGCCUCCCUGAGUUUCCUACUUUGUCCAGAGCUCUGAGAGAACCCGCCAAGCCUAUUUUAAAACACUCUCCCCUGGAGAACUGACUUACCUGGAGCUUGGCCUCUGGGGGCCCACACUCUGGGCUGAAUGAUAAAUCCGGGGCUGGGCUGAGAGUCAAUUUGGCCCUCAAACUUAUCAGCCCUGUUCCUCAUUGUUUUUCUGUACAUUUUUAAAAGGGCUGCCUACCUUUUUC
rnacentral:lncRNA from 1 species